UAUAUAUAUUGAGAGAUAGAUAGCACGUUACCUGUUUCUUUUAUUUCAUUUAUAAAUAAACUUAGCUAAAAAUGUGAAUCAACUAGGAUUCAAACUUGGGUCUCAGGUACCAACCACCAAGCCUUUUGCCACUUGGUCUAGGAACGGUCGGUUCCUCAAACUAUAUUGAUCAAAUUUUAUUGACGUUUUCACCAAAUUUAACAUCCUUAAUAAUUUUUUAGAAAAUAAAAUUAGAACAAAAUAAUAAAUGCGAUAAAAUUUUUAAGGUAAAUUUCAAAUACCAUCCAUGUGGUUUCGUGCUUUCUCACUUUAGUAUCAUAUGGUUUAAAAUGUAUCACUUUGAUACUCUGUGGUUUUAUUUUUAUAUUUUCGUUAUUUUUUUGUUAAUUUUUUUGCUAAAUUAAUGAUAAAUUUAAAACUACAGGAUACUAAAGUAAAAAUUCGGUAAACAACAGAGUACUUUUUUUGUAUAUGAUUUAACGAAAAGUUAACGAAGGUGCUGACGAAAAGAACAAAAAUGAAAUAAUAAGGUACUAAUAUGAUACACUUUAAACCACAUGAUAGUAAAAUGAGAAAGUAGUGCGAAACAACAUAGGUGGUAUUUGAAAUUUACUC
rnacentral:lncRNA from 1 species